GACGAAUGCUGGCGGCGUGCUUAACACAUGCAAGUCGAACGGAAAGGCCCUGCUUUUGUGGGGUGCUCGAGUGGCGAACGGGUGAGUAACACGUGAGUAACCUGCCCUUGACUUUGGGAUAACUUCAGGAAACUGGGGCUAAUACCGGAUAGGAGCUCCUGCUGCAUGGUGGGGGUUGGAAAGUUUCGGCGGUUGGGGAUGGACUCGCGGCUUAUCAGCUUGUUGGUGGGGUAGUGGCUUACCAAGGCUUUGACGGGUAGCCGGCCUGAGAGGGUGACCGGCCACAUUGGGACUGAGAUACGGCCCAGACUCCUACGGGAGGAAGCAGUGGGGAAUAUUGCACAAUGGGCGGAAGCCUGAUGCAGCAACGCCGCGUGCGGGAUGACGGCCUUCGGGUUGUAAACCGCUUUCGCCUGUGACGAAGCGUGAGUGACGGUAAUGGGUAAAGAAGCACCGGCUAACUACGU
rnacentral:rRNA from 1 species